rnacentral:rRNA from 1 species
GAUGAACGCUGGCGGCGUGCCUAAUACAUGCAAGUCGAGCGAACGGACGAGAAGCUUGCUUUUCUGAUGUUAGCGGCGGACGGGUGAGUAACACGUGGAUAACCUACCUAUAAGACUGGGAUAACUUCGGGAAACCGGAGCUAAUACCGGAUAAUAUUUUGAACCGCAUGGUUCAAAAGUGAAAGACGGUCUUGCUGUCACUUAUAAAUGGAUCCGCGCUGCAUUAGCUAGUUGGUAAGGUAACGGCUUACCAAGGCAACGAUGCAUAGCCGACCUGAGAGGGUGAUCGGCCACACUGGAACUGAGACACGGUCCAGACUCCUACGGGAGGCAGCAGUAGGGAAUCUUCCGCAAUGGGCGAAAGCCUGACGGAGCAACGCCGCGUGAGUGAUGAAGGUCUUCGGAUCGUAAAACUCUGUUAUUAGGGAAGAACAUAUGUGUAAGUAACUGUGCACAUCUUGACGGUACCUAAUCAGAAAGCCACGGCUAACUACGU